AAGCAAGUCGAGCGGACAGAUGGGGAGCUUGCUCCCUGAUGUUAGCGGCGGACGGGUGAGUAACACGUGGGUAACCUGCCUGUAAGACUGGGAUAACUCCGGGAAACCGGGGCUAAUACCGGAUGCUUGUUUGAACCGCAUGGUUCAAACAUAAAAGGUGGCUUCGGCUACCACUUACAGAUGGACCCGCGGCGCAUUAGCUAGUUGGUGAGGUAAUGGCUCACCAAGGCAACGAUGCGUAGCCGACCUGAGAGGGUGAUCGGCCACACUGGGACUGAGACACGGCCCAGACUCCUACGGGAGGCAGCAGUAGGGAAUCUUCCGCAAUGGACGAAAGUCUGACGGAGCAACGCCGCGUGAGUGAUGAAGGUUUUCGGAUCGUAAAGCUCUGUUGUUAGGGAAGAACAAGUACCGUUCGAAUAGGGCGGUACCUUGACGGUACCUAACCAGAAAGCCACGGCUAACUACGUGCCAGCAGCCGCGGUAAUACGUAGGUGGCAAGCGUUGUCCGGAAUUAUUGGGCGUAAAGGGCUCGCAGGCGGUUUCUUAAGUCUGAUGUGAAAGCCCCCGGCUCAACCGGGGAGGGUCAUUGGAAACUGGGGAACUUGAGUGCAGAAGAGGAGAGUGGAAUUCCACGUGUAGCGGUGAAAUGCGUAGAGAUGUGGAGGAACACCAGUGGCGAAGGCGACUCUCUGGUCUGUAACUGACGCUGAGGAGCGAAAGCGUGGGGAGCGAACAGGAUUAGAUACCCUGGUAGUCCACGCCGUAAACGAUGAGUGCUAAGUGUUAGGGGGUUUCCGCCCCUUAGUGCUGCAGCUAACGCAUUAAGCACUCCGCCUGGGGAGUACGGUCGCAAGACUGAAACUCAA
rnacentral:rRNA from 1 species